CUUUUAGACCUCGCUCACGGUGCCGCCGCGACAGAAUUCGUGGCGGAUAAUUUGGGAAGCCGGCGUGAUGCCGGCGCUGUCCCCGCAACGGUAACGGAACAAAAACCCGACGAAUGCCACCGGUGAUAACACCGCGAAGGCGUUGGGCAGCCCAUAAAGACAGUUCCGAAGUCCGGAAUCCAGCCCUGAGUGUUGAGCAGACC
rnacentral:ncRNA from 1 species